rnacentral:rRNA from 1 species
GGAACUGUUUUGAAGAUUUCUUCGGAAUGAAUUUGAUUUAGUUCAGUGGCGGACGGGUGAGUAACGCGUGAGUAACCUGCCUUCAAGAGGGGGAUAACAUUCUGAAAAGAAUGCUAAUACCGCAUGAUAUAUCGGAACCACAUGGUUUUGAUAUCAAAGAUUUUAUCGCUUGAAGAUGGACUCGCGUCCGAUUAGUUAGUUGGUGAGGUAACGGCUCACCAAGACCGCGAUCGGUAGCCGGACUGAGAGGUUGAACGGCCACAUUGGGACUGAGACACGGCCCAGACUCCUACGGGAGGCAGCAGUGGGGGAUAUUGCGUAAUGGGGGCAACCCUGACGCAGCAACGCCGCGUGAAGGAUGAAGGUUUUCGGAUUGUAAACUUCUUUUAUUAAGGACGAAAAUUGACGGUACUUAAUGAAUAAGCUCCGGCUAACUACGUGCCAGCAGCCGCGGUAAUACGUAGGGAGCAAGCGUUGUCCGGAUUUACUGGGUGUAAAGGGUGCGUAGGCGGCUUUGCAAGUCAGAUGUGAAAUCUAUGGGCUCAACCCAUAAACUGCAUUUGAAACUGUAGAGCUUGAGUGAAGUAGAGGCAGGCGGAAUUCCCCGUGUAGCGGUGAAAUGCGUAGAGAUGGGGAGGAACACCAGUGGCGAAGGCGGCCUGCUGGGCUUUAACUGACGCUGAGGCACGAAAGCGUGGGUAGCAAACAGGAUUAGAUACCCUGGUAGUCCACGCUGUAAACGAUGAUUACUAGGUGUGGGGGGUCUGACCCCUUCCGUG